GUCCACGCCGUAAACGUUGGGAACUAGGUGUGGGUCUCAUUCCACGAGAUCUGUGCCGCAGCUAACGCAUUAAGUUCCCCGCCUGGGGAGUACGGCCGCAAGGCUAAAACUCAAAGGAAUUGACGGGGCCCGCACAAGCGGCGGAGCAUGUGGAUUAAUUCGAUGCAACGCGAAGAACCUUACCAAGGCUUGACAUGUACCGGAAACAUCCAGAGAUGGGUGCCCCGCAAGGUCGGUACACAGGUGGUGCAUGGUUGUCGU
rnacentral:rRNA from 1 species